rnacentral:lncRNA from 1 species
GGGGAAAUGCGAGGCUGUGCCGAGCUAUUUCCCCGUUUCGGGCCGAAUCCUUAUAUCGUUGAUAUGUCAAGUCAAUGCACUAUUAUUGUUUUUAUACUUCAAUCUAAAAAAACAUUUUCAAUAAAAAUGAUGUUUAAUGCGUUAAGGUUAUUUAUUUGAUUUAAAUAUUUGGGGAAAUCCCCUUUAAAAAGGCCUCAUAUCAUGCUCACGGAGAAAUUUUGAACACAAUGAAAUGUACAUUUACCUGUUGAAACCCACACUCGAUGGUGAACGAAAUCAUUUGAGUAUGGACUAAAAUAUCAACCAUAAGCAUAACAAAUUAAUGAUUUAUAGGUUGCAAACAAAAAAUAUUAAUAAAUGAAAUAUGUUUUUCCUAUAAUUGCAAAAGAAACAAGGUUGAGUCGUUCCACGCAUCGUUGUAUGCAUUGGAAACAAGAACAGGUUGAAGAGGUCGUAUGAAUAAUUAAAUGUUAUUUCGGCAACUUCUAUUUAAAUAUUCAUGAGGAAAAGUGAUAUCGGGUCAGUGACUGUAUAU